rnacentral:rRNA from 1 species
AUUGAACGCUGGCGGCAUGCCUUACACAUGCAAGUCGAACGGCAGCGCGGACUUCGGUCUGGCGGCGAGUGGCGAACGGGUGAGUAAUACAUCGGAACGUACCCUGUUGUGGGGGAUAACUAGUCGCAAGAUUAGCUAAUACCGCAUACGACCCGAGGGUGAAAGGGGGGGACCGCAAGGCCUUAAGCAGCAGGAACUGCCGAUGUCUGAUUAGCGAGUUGGUGGGGUAAAGGCCCACCAAGGCGACGACCAGUAGCUGGUCUGAGAGGACGAUCAGCCACACUGGGACUGAGACACGGCCCAGACUCCUACGGGAGGCAGCAGUGGGGGAUUUUGGACAAUGGGGGCAACCCUGAUCCAGCAAUGCCGCGUGUGUGAAGAAGGCCUUCGGGUUGUAAAGCACUUUUGUCCGGAAAGAAAUCGCGCUGGUUAAUACCUGGCGUGGAUGACGGUAGCGGAAGAAUAAGCACCGGCUAACUACGUGCCAGAAGCCGCCGUAA